UACAGAGGGGGCAAGCGUUAUUCGGAAUUAUUGGGCGUAAAGGGCGCGUAGGCGGCCUGGCAAGUGGGAGGUGAAAUCCCUCGGCUUAACCGAGGAACUGCCCUCCAAACUGCUUGGCUUGAGUCCGGGAGAGGUGAGUGGAAUUCCCAGUGUAGCGGUGAAAUUCGUAGAUAUUCGGAGGAACACCAGUGGCGAAGGCGGCUCACUGGUCCAUUACUGACGCUGAGGUGCGAAAGCGUGGGGAGCAAACAGG
rnacentral:rRNA from 1 species